CCCGAUUCGCCCUCGAGAAGUGUCGUGGUGGAGAAGACCAGGAAGAAGAGAAGGCUAGAGAAGUGGAAGCCGAGCAAGAAAUUGAAGUCAUCACAGAUCGGAUUCAACAAGAUGAAAAAGAAAAAGGAAGAAAAAUCAUCACAAAUAAAAAAAAUCAUCCCGCUCCCCACCAUGGCCGCCGUCAUGGCGCUCUGCGCCGCCUCCUAACUCCUCGGCCGUGCCCUCCUGACCACCGCCGGCUCCUCCAUGGCUUGCUCCUGCUCCUCCUCCUCCUACUUCCCUGCAACAAAGAGGAAUCAAAUCACACAAAAACAGCUCCUUCCUUUGGCCUUUGAUUUCUCCUCACCUCCAUGAGCCUCUUGAGGGGGCGAGGAGGCGCGGCUGGCUCCGGAGUCUCCGGGCGAUUCAUCUCCUGACGACCGCCAACGAAUCCAGGGGCCCGCACCGCCGCCCGGCGCCCGGCGCAACUCGCUGCCGCCGGAGCAGCAUUCGCCGCCGCCGCACGGGAUGCGAGGCAAUAGGAGGCGUAGCGAGGCGAGGAGAAGCAGUGUGGCGUGGCGAGGAGAAGCGGAGCCGGCACCGGA
rnacentral:lncRNA from 1 species